rnacentral:tRNA from 1 species
GGCCCCAUGGUCUAACGGUUAGGACGCGGCCCUCUCAAGGCCGAGGCCGGGGUUCGAUUCCCCGUGGGGCUA